rnacentral:rRNA from 1 species
GACGAACGCUGGCGGCGUGCUUAACACAUGCAAGUCGAACGGAAAGGCCCUGCUUUUGUGGGGUGCUCGAGUGGCGAACGGGUGAGUAACACGUGAGUAACCUGCCCUUGACUUUGGGAUAACUUCAGGAAACUGGGGCUAAUACCGGAUAGGAGCUCCUGCUGCAUGGUGGGGGUUGGAAAGUUUCGGCGGUUGGGGAUGGACUCGCGGCUUAUCAGCUUGUUGGUGGGGUAGUGGCUUACCAAGGCUUUGACGGGUAGCCGGCCUGAGAGGGUGACCGGCCACAUUGGGACUGAGAUACGGCCCAGACUCCUACGGGAGGCAGCAGUGGGGAAUAUUGCACAAUGGGCGGAAGCCUGAUGCAGCAACGCCGCGUGCGGGAUGACGGCCUUCGGGUUGUAAACCGCUUUCGCCUGUGACGAAGCGUGAGUGACAGUAAUGGGUAAAGAAGCACCGGCUAACUACGUGCCAGCAGCCGCGGUGAUACGUAGGGUGCGAGCGUUGUCCGGAUUUAUUGGGCGUAAAGGGCUCGUAGGUGGUUGAUCGCGUCGGAAGUGUAAUCUUGGGGCUUAACCCUGAGCGUGCUUUCGAUACGGGUUGACUUGAGGAAGGUAGGGGAGAAUGGAAUUCCUGGUGGAGCGGUGGAAUGCGCAGAUAUCAGGAGGAACACCAGUGGCGAAGGCGGUUCUCUGGGCCUUUCCUGACGCUGAGGAGCGAAAGCGUGGGGAGCGAACAGGCUUAGAUACCCUGGUAGUCCACGCUGUAAACGGUGGGUACUAGGUGUGGGGUCCAUUCCACGGGUUCCGUGCCGUAGCUAACGCUUUAAGUACCCCGCCUGGGGAGUACGGCCGCAAGGCUAAAACUCAAAGGAAUUGACGGGGCCCCGCACAAGCGGCGGAGCAUGCGGAUUAAUUCGAUGCAACGCGUAGAACCUUACCUGGGUUUGACAUGGAUCGGGAGUGCUCAGAGAUGGGUGUGCCUCUUUUGGGGUCGGUUCACAGGUGGUGCAUGCCUGUCGUCAGCUCGUGUCGUGAGAUGUUGGGUUAAGUCCCGCAACGAGCGCAACCCUUGUUCACUGUUGCCAGCACGUUAUGGUGGGGACUCAGUGGAGACCGCCGGGGUCAACUCGGAGGAAGGUGGGGAUGACGUCAAGUCCUCAUGCCCCUUAUGUCCAGGGCUUCACGCAUGCUACAAUGGCUGGUACAGAGAGUGGCGAGCCUGUGAGGGUGAGCGAAUCUCGGAAAGCCGGUCUCAGUUCGGAUUGGGGUCUGCAACUCGACCUCAUGAAGUCGGAGUCGCUAGUAAUCGCAGAUCAGCAACGCUGCGGUGAAUACGUUCCCGGG